UUUCACUUGAGAGAAUGCUUGAAUGGCUCUUUUUGUCUCCCCUUCUAUUCUCACAAUGCUCAAUGCCUUUUUCCACUUGAUCAUUUGCAAUCAGUUCUUUAGGGAACUAACCCGAUCCUUCGGACUUAUUAACUGUGUCAAACUUACAAGAGAAAGGGAAAAGAAAAAAAUAAUAAAGGCUAAAGAAACAAAUAGUUAAAGAAAGAUAUAGGACUGGCAAAGAAAAAAAAUGAAGAAACGAGGAUGACAACAAGAAAGAAAAAACUCAACAACUUACUACAAAAGAAAUGCUUAUAAUAAUCCUAUCACCGAAUCAAGCAAGAAAACUUGUUUUGGAUGAUUUUUACGCAAUACAAGGUGUAAUUUGAGCAGCUUCCAACAUGUCACACACAAUUUAACACUGUUCUUUUAUAAUUUGCACAAAAUUUCAAAAACUAAUUUUAUUAUAUUUUUUCUUUUUCUUUUAAACUUUGAUAUUCAAAUUUUUUUUGUUGUUUUUUUGCUUUUUUUAAACUUUGAUCAAUAUAUAAUAUUUUUAUUUUGUUUGUUUGUUUUCUUUCGGUGCAGAACGUGCUAAAAUCUAACUUAAGCUCUGAUACCACUUGAUAUGGCGUUGCUUAUCGAAACAACGAACCUUGAAGGAUUGCGAAUCUAGGAUUAUAGAAAACAUUCUUUCUGCAGCAUAAACAACACACAAAC
rnacentral:lncRNA from 1 species